GAUGAACGCUAGCUACAGGCUUAACACAUGCAAGUCGAGGGGUAACGAGAGGAAAGCUUGCUUUCCUUGUCGACGACCGGCGCACGGGUGAGUAACGCGUAUCCAACCUGCCCCCAACUAGGGAAUAACCUUGCGAAAGUAAGACUAAUACCCUAUAAUUUCCUCAGAUGUCAUCUGACGAGGAAUAAAGAUUUAUCGGUUGUGGAUGGGGAUGCGUCUGAUUAGCUUGUUGGCGGGGUAACGGCCCACCAAGGCAACGAUCAGUAGGGGUUCUGAGAGGAAGGUCCCCCACAUUGAGACUGAGACACGGUCCAAACUCCUACGGGAGGCAGCAGUGGGGAAUAUUGGUCAAUGGGCGGAAGCCUGAACCAGCCAAGUAGCGUGCAGGAUGACGGCCCUAUGGGUUGUAAACUGCUUUUAUACAGGAAUAAAGUUAGCCACGUGUGGUUAUUUGUAGGUACUGUAUGAAUAAGGACCGGCUAAUUCCGUGCCAGCAGCCGCCGUAA
rnacentral:rRNA from 1 species